rnacentral:misc_RNA from 1 species
UCAAACUUGGUCAUUUAGAGGAAGUAAAAGUCGUAACAAGGUCUCCGUUGGUGAACCAGCGGAGGGAUCAUUAAAGAGUGUAACAACUCCCAAACCCAUGUGAACUUACCUUCUGUUGCCUCGGCAGGUCGCGCCUACCCUGUGAGACCCUACCCUGUAGAGUCUUACCCGGUGGACGCGGGUACCCCUGCCGGCGGCCUACAAAACUCUGUUUACUGAUGUUAUUUCUGAAUCUAUAACUAAAUAAGUUAAAACUUUCAACAACGGAUCUCUUGGUUCUGGCAUCGAUGAAGAACGCAGC